AAUGUAAUGCAUAUAGCGUUAAUGCAUCGAAUCCCAUUAGAACUUUGCAGUGAAGCACACUUGGGCUAGAUUAGUAUUGGGAUGGGUGACCUCCCAGGAAGUCCUUAUUACUGAAAUG
rfam:Picea glauca, whole genome shotgun sequence.